CUUAUUAAUCCUAGCCAAUCUAGAUGCUUCCUGAGCAAGCUUUUCAAAUAUAUCAUUAAUGAAACUGUUCAUUAUUCCCAUAGACUUGCUGGAAAUACCGAUAUCAGGAUGCACCUGCUUGAGCACCUUGAAGAUGUAGAUCUUGUAGGUUUCAACGCUCUUCUUUGUCCUCUUCUUCUUUUUGUCGACGGCGGCAUCCUUCGGGAGCUUCUUUCCGGCUUUCGGCUUCUUCUCUGCCGGAACUUCCUCGGCCUUCUUCUCCUCUACUGGUUUCUUCUCAGCAGGCUUUUUCCCUCCUGUCUUUGGUGCCAUUGUUGAGAUGUUUAACAGAAGGAAGAAAAGGAGUUUUGAUGAAGAGAAUGCGUGAGUGAUGAGGUAAUGAAUUGGGGGAAGUGAGUAUUAUAUAGGGUUUUGAUUCUGUUGUUUGAUUGGUUAUUAUCGGUUUACGCGGAUCGUGAUUAUGGACCGUUGAUGAAAAGGAGAAUGGACGUUCCGUAUUCUCUGUUUUAAUUGUUUACAAACUGAAAAGACAAAAGAAAAAAGUACUCCCCCAUUCACCUUUGUUUUACAAAAUAUACUACAUAUAUUUUCCCCUUUAGUUGUCCUCUUUAGGAUAUUAAGAUAAAAUAAUUGUUUUAUUUUAUAUUUAGUAUAAAUUAUUUUAAAAUUAAAUAACACAUAAAUAGAUAAAUAAUUAAAAGUUAAAAAGAAAUAUAUUAGUUAAACUACAUUUUUUAUUAAAAUUUUCAUUAUUAAUUGUAUAAAAUUUAUUGUGACAGUUAAAUGCAAACAAAGGAUAUAUUAUUUUCCAAGUUUGUUAACUCUAUACACUAUUGAAUAUGGCUACGGUAUUACAACCCACGCUACAUAGAUUAGGCAUACAGGUAUUUCAGCCCAUUGUAGUUGAGGGCGCGCUAUUUAUAUGCAUUCAUUAGUUUGCAAGGGAUUCAAGAUCGAUUUUGAUAGAGAGUAAAUGAUUGUUCAUGUACCUAUUUCCUUGGAGGCUUAAGUAGAGGCUCAUUUACUUAUCUUUUCUCAUGUGAAUCUUUUGUCUACAAUUAUUCGGGACCCCAUUUUCGCAUGACCGCAUCAACACAAGAUAUACUUAUUGGACUUUCAGCCUGUUGUAGUUCAAGGUGCGCUAUUUAUAUACAUUCAUUAGUUUGCAAGGGAUUCAAGGUCGAUUUUGAUAGAGAAUAAAUAAUUGUUCAUUUACCUAUUUCUUUGGAGGCUUAAGUAGAGGCUCAUUUACUUAUCUUUUCUCAUGUGAAUCUUUCGUCUACUAUCCCAUUUCCGCAUGACCGCAUCAACACAAGAUAUACUUAUGACUAUAUGUAUUAACAAGCAGAAAUCAUCGAAGUAUUAACUUAGGCAAUCCUCUUUAAAAAUAAAUCAUUCCUAAGAAAGAAGAGAUAGUUAAUAAAAAUCUCCAAAAAUAUGUAGUUUUUUAGUAAUUUUUUCAUUACGUAAAACUCUAUUUAGUUAAAUAAACAUAAAAUUAGAAUAACAUUAUUAAUAUCUUGCAGACUGUUACCUGAACGAGUAAAAAUAAAGUGAGAAAUUACAACCGGAAGAUCUUUUUUCUCCACAGAAUUAAACUGUGCAUGGAUUAGAAAACAAGAGAUAUUCUUUAGCUUCAUUAAAAAAAUGAUUUUAAAACGUUUUUAUUUCAUUUCAAUAUUAAAUAUCAAUCAAAUAUGCUCAUAAAAAAAUUAUAUAUAUAUAUAUAUAUAUGCCCAUUAUUGUUCCAUUUAGAACUUGCAUUUUACCAUUUAAAUUUUGUUUCUUAUAGCACAUAUAUGUUGAUAUCAUUUCAAAACGUUUUUAUUGAUUAGAAUGAGAACAAGUGCAGCUGAUAGCCAAAAGUUCAAAAACGUUGAUCGUAUAUUAAUACUACAAACAUCAUUUUUUAGUAAUCAUUAAGUUCUCCAAUCUCCAUUAGGAGAGUAUAUUCUAUGAUAGAAGUUACUUUUCGUAAAGCUUGAGGCAGAUUCACUCCAUGAAAUUAAAAAUGCAAAGCUUGUUAUAUACAAGAUAGGUACAGACUAAGGGAGGUGAAUACUCAAUCACAAGGAGCUACAUUGAUCAAAAAAGGUACCACAGCAGAUCAAUUAUUGCUGAAUGUAUUCUGAGUGCUUCUUGCAAUAAUCGAAAGGUGAGAGGUAGUGCUCCGUCUCAAGGUUUAAUUUAAAGUCACUAGUCGAUUCAACUGUAUGAGUGAAAGGCGAAAGUACGUGCAAUCAGGUUUAACAUGUCAAAGAUCACCGAGUCGUCAAAUAGGGGAAUAGGUUGUUUUCCGCAUCCAACAACUGAAAGGGGUUGCAAAGAAGGGUUGAGUUGCGUAAUAGCCGAUUCAUAGGUCAAUAUAUCGUUGGAUUUGAAAUCGAAAUCUCUACCUUAGGCGGAUAGGAAUUGAGACUUUCAAUGGUCAACUAUUCUCUCCUAGUAAUCAAAGCUAACCCCAGAAAUCGGGUAUUCCUUCUUAAGAGGACACUAACACUUUCGAUCUUGCUAGCCGGGGCUCAGACUUUCAAGAUUCAAUCUUUCCCCUUCCAGUCCCAGGAAUCCUUCUUAUAGUAGAAGGUUUACUAUGUCCCCGACUUCUCUUUAUUAAGACAUAGGUUGUCUACUGUAAUUAGAUUAAGAUUGUAAAAACAAAAGCUUGUAAUAUAGCUAGACCAAAUUCAUAUUCAUACUCAAACAAGGAGUCCUAUAGUUUACAACUCUUCUUUAUAUAGUAAUUCGAUCCAUUGCUAUUCACCCCUUCCCCCACAAUCAGUAGGACAUGCUUGCCUAUACAGCUGCAAGAGGUGCAGGGUAUAAUGCUGAAAAUUAAAUGGAAGAAAUGAAAGCAGUUUCAGAAACAAUUAGUAGCUACGACUUAGGGAACAAUGAUCUACCAUACUUGGAGAGCCCAAAACUGGAAAAUUUAGAAAAGAGUACAUGUUCAGACAACUGAGAUCCACACACAAAUUAAGAGGGAGAAUUUAGAUAGAAACCGCAUAAAUAGAGCUUGUAGAUGUAGUGGUUUUCUCCAAUGGUUGAAAGUGUUAAUAGAUUUGUGUUUUGGUAGAGACUUGAGAUUCUGCUGUGCUCAAGAGCUCUUUAGGAGUAUGGUUCUGUUCACGAAAUGGUAAUGUUUACAUAAUAUCUUAACAUAAUGAGAUGCCCUAAAGAGUUAAAUCACCUACAUUCAAGAUUAAACAAAUCCUCCGGUUCAUCAACCGAUAAACCAUAGAUGUUGCCUGAUACAUUCGGAAACACUUUAGUGUGUAAUUUGAAUUGAGAACAAAAUAUAUACAGCUAACAGGAAGGAACAACAAACACUCGGAAAACACCUACAAGUUUCUCCAAGAAAAUUAAUACUGACGAGAAUAGAAGUUCGAUUCAGAUAAUAGAGAUUUAAGCCCGAGUUAAUUGACACAUUCAACUUGGUUUACAAAAAUUCCAGAAGAAUAACUACAGAACACAAUAGAUUUUUCGAGAUACGAAAAAUUCGAACAAAACCAAUACGGAAUUUCAUUUGGGAAAAGCUUUGAUUCAUUAGAUUGUAUCAUACUAAGGCCAGUUACUAAACAAACAUCAAAAACAACAAUCCUUUACAUUGACCCAAAACCCAAAAGAUCCCCAAAUUAAAACCCUAAUUGCUAGUAAACUUGGUGACAGCCUUAGUUCCUUCAGAAACAGCAUGCUUUGCCAAUUCACCAGGUAGCACAAGUCUGACAGCAGUCUGAAUUUCCCUAGAAGUAAUAGUUGGCUUCUUGUUGAUCCUAGCCAAUCUAGAUGAUUCCUGAGCAAGCUUCUCAAAAAUGUCAUUGAUGAAGCUGUUCAUGAUACCCAUAGACUUGCUGGAAAUACCGAUAUCGGGAUGCACCUGCUUCAAAACCUUGAAGAUGUAGAUCUUAUAGGUUUCAACGCUCUUCUUUGACCUCUUCUUCUUCUUGUCGGCGCCGGCAUCCUUUGGGAGCUUCUUUCCGGCCUUAGGCUUCUUCUCAGCAGGAACUUCCUCAGCCUUCUUCUCAUCAACUGGUUUCUUCUCCGCUGGCUUCUUUCCUG
rnacentral:lncRNA from 1 species